UAGGGAAUCUUCCGCGAUGGACGCAAGUCUGACGGAGCAACGCCGCGUGAGUGAAGAAGGAUUUCGGUUCGUAAAACUCUGUUGUUAGAGAAGAACAGCGCAUAGAGUAACUGUUAUGCGUGUGACGGUAUCUAACCAGAAAGCCACGGCUAACUACGUGCCAGCAGCCGCGGUAAUACGUAGGUGGCAAGCGUUGUCCGGAUUUAUUGGGCGUAAAGCGAGCGCAGGCGGUCAAUUAAGUCUGAUGUGAAAGCCCCCGGCUCAACCGGGGAGGGUCAUUGGAAACUGGUUGACUUGAGGGCAGAAGAGGAGAGUGGAAUUCCAUGUGUAGCGGUGAAAUGCGUAGAUAUAUGGAGGAACACCAGUGGCGAAGGCGACUCUCUGGUCUGUAACUGACGCUGAGGCUCGAAAGCGUGGGUAGCAAACAGG
rnacentral:rRNA from 1 species